rnacentral:rRNA from 1 species
AUUGAACGCUGGCGGCAUGCUCUACACAUGCAAGUCGAACGGUAACAGGCCGCAAGGUGCUGACGAGUGGCGAACGGGUGAGUAAUGCAUCGGAACGUGCCCAGUCGUGGGGGAUAACUACUCGAAAGAGUAGCUAAUACCGCAUACGACCUAUGGAGGAAAGCGGGGGACGGAAAGGCCUGGGGCGAUUGGAGGGGCGGAUGUAAGAUUGGGGUGUGGGGGGGGUAAAGGCCCCCCAAGCAAAGAAUCUGAAGCGGGUCUGAGGGGAGAACCAGCCCACCGGGGACUGGACACCGGCCCGGCCUCCUCCGGGGGGCGGGUGGGGGGAUUUUUGACAAGUGGGGGGAAGCCUGAUCCAGCAAUGCCGGGUGCAGGAAGAAGGCCUUUGGGUUGUAAACUGCUUUUGUACGGAACGAAACGGCUCUGGUUAAUCCCCGGGGCUAAUGGCGGUACCGGAAGAAUAGGCCCCGGCUAACUCCGU